rnacentral:tRNA from 1 species
AAGACUCUAGUAAAUACAUAACAUGGCCCCGUCAGAGCCAAAUAACAGGAACUCGCCCCUGUGAGACUUA